rnacentral:rRNA from 1 species
CCUACGGGAGGCAGCAGUGGGGAAUUUUGGACAAUGGGGGCAACCCUGAUCCAGCAAUGCCGCGUGAGUGAAGAAGGCCUUCGGGUUGUAAAGCUCUUUUGUCAGGGAAGAAACACCGGCUCUAACACAGUCCGGGAAUGACGGUACCUGAAGAAUAAGCACCGGCUAACUACGUGCCAGCAGCCGCGGUAAUACGUAGGGUGCUAGCGUUAAUCGGAAUUACUGGGCGUAAAGCGUGCGCAGGCGGUUAUACAAGACAGGCGUGAAAUCCCCGGGCUUAACCUGGGAAUGGCGCCUGUGACUGUAUAGCUAGAGUGUGUCAGAGGGGGGUAGAAUUCCACGUGUAGCAGUGAAAUGCGUAGAUAUGUGGAGGAAUACCAAUGGCGAAGGCAGCCCCCUGGGAUAACACUGACGCUCAUGCACGAAAGCGUGGGGAGCAAACAGGAUUAGAUACCCUGGUAGUCCACGCCCUAAACGAUGCUGACUAGUUGUUCGGGAUUUACAUCCUGAGUAACGUAGCUAACGCGUGAAGUCAGCCGCCUGGGGAGUACGGUCGCAAGAUUAAAACUCAAAGGAAUUGACGG